rnacentral:rRNA from 1 species
GAUGAACGCUGGCGGCGUGCCUAAUACAUGCAAGUCGAGCGAACAGACGAGGAGCUUUCUCCUCUGACGUUAGCGGCGGACGGGUGAGUCACACGUGGAUAACCUACCUAUAAGGCUGGGAUAACUUCGGGAAACCGGAGCUCAUACCGGAUCACAUGUUGAACCGCAUGGUUCAACAGUGAAAGACGGUCUUGCUGUCACUUAUAGAUGGAUCCGCGCCGCAUUAGCUAGUUGGUAAGGUAACGGCAUACCAAGGCAACGAUGCGUAGCCGACCUGAGAGGGUGAUCAGCCACACUGGAACUGAGACACGGUCCAGACUCCUACGGGAGGCAGCAGUAGGGAAUCUUCCGCAAUGGGCGAAAGCCUGACGGAGCAACGCCGCGUGAGUGAAGAAGGUCUUCGGAUCGUAAAACUCUGUUAGUAGGGAAGAACAAAUGUGUAAGUAACUAUGCACGUCUUGACGGUACCUAAUCAGAAAGCCACGGCUAACUACGUG